rnacentral:snRNA from 1 species
UCACUCUGGCUUCUCUUCAACGUAUGAUUCUUUCGCCUUUUACUAAAGAAUUCCGUGGAGAGGAGCAGUUCAAUGAGUCUUGAACAUUUUUCGAUAUCUAACUUUUAUUCAUUU